GGUGAAUUCUCUCAAUCAUUUUUCCUCAGGUAGCUUGCCUAGAGGAGAAGGGCCUUUGUUCCCUAUGGAGCCAGUAUGUGAUCUGGAAAAGACUUUGGACUCCAUUUUGUAGGGGAUGAAACUAAGGCCAAAAGUGAGUUAAGUAAAUUGAGUUAGGUCCGCUCAUGCAGCCCAUUAAUGGCAAAGUUGAACUGCAGUUGUUACCAAUGCCAGCAACAUCUCAGACCCAAAGGAUCAUCCCAUCCUCACUCUGUCUUGGGUGGCAUUCACUUGAGUAGCCACUCAAGAUUUCCUCUCUGAAAAGCAAGGCCAUCAGUCUCUGGUCAGAGUUUUCGGAAGAUUUCAGGAUGGUCCCCAGGAGUAGUCAGAGUGGCCCAAUAGGAGCCUUCUGCCAUAGGAAUGCUGAUUCUAAUUUGAAUAUCUCUAAUGCUGGAACUACUGGAGCAUGAAGCAGGAUCAGGUGUCUCCUUGUCAACAUAGAUGUUCAUGCUCAUAAAUGCUCUGCUUCCUCUCCUGCAGCACUCACAGUUUCUGCUCAGAGCUGAGCUUUAAAGGAAUGCCUCCUAACUACAGCUGCAAACAGAGGGGCUGACAAUGAGAAACAAUAUGACUAGAUGCCUGAAGACACUGUGUGUGUGUGUAUGUGUGUGUGUGUGUGUGUGUGUGUGUGUGU